UACGUAGGGUGCAGGCGUUAUUCGGAAUUACUGGGCGUAAAGAGUGUGUAGGCGGUGCUCUAAGUUCGGUGUGAAAUCUCCUGGCUUAACUGGGAGGUGCGCCGAAAACUGGAGUGCUCGAGCGUGGGAGAGGAAAGCGGAAUUCCUGGUGUAGCGGUGAAAUGCGUAGAUAUCAGGAGGAACACCUGCGGUGUAGACGGCUUUCUGGACCAUUGCUGACGCUGAGACACGAAAGCGUGGGUAGCAAACAGG
rnacentral:rRNA from 1 species